GGAGACAGGUGCUGCAUGGCUGUCGUCAGCUCGUGUCGUGAGAUGUUGGUUAAGUCCCGCAACGAGCGCAACCCUUGUCAUUAGUUGUCAUCAUUUAGUUGGGCACUCUAAUGAGACUGCCGGUGACAAACCGGAGGAAGGUGGGGAUGACGUCAAGUCCUCAUGGCCCUUAUGGGUAGGGCUUCACACGUCAUACAAUGGUCGGUACAGAGGGUUGCCAAGCCGCGAGGUGGAGCUAAUCUCAGAAAGCCGAUCGUAGUCCGGAUCGCAGUCUGCAACUCGACUGCGUGAAGUCGGAAUCGCUAGUAAUCGCGGAUCAGCAUGUCGCGGUGAAUACGUUCCCGGGUCUU
rnacentral:rRNA from 1 species